UCUGGUUGAUCCUGCCAGAGGUUACUGCUAUUGGUGUUCGACUAAGCCAUGCAAGUCAUAUGUUCCUCGUGAACAUGGCAUACUGCUCAGUAACACGUGGAUAACCUGCCCUUGGGUCUGGGAUAACCCCGGGAAACUGGGGAUAAUACCGGAUAACGCAUAUGUGCUGGAAUGCUUUAUGCGUAAAACGGAUUCGUCCGCCCAAGGAUGGGUCUGCGGCCUAUCAGGUAGUAGUGGGUGUAAUGUACCUACUAGCCAACAACGGGUACGGGUUGUGAGAGCAAGAGCCCGGAGAUGGAUUCUGAGACAUGAAUCCAGGCCCUACGGGGCGCAGCAGGCGCGAAAACUUUACAAUGCGGGAAACCGUGAUAAGGGAACACCGAGUGCCAGCAUCAUAUGUUGGCUGUCCAGAUGUGUAAACUACAUCUGUUAGCAAGGGCCGGGCAAGACCGGUGCCAGCCGCCGCGGUAACACCGGCGGCCCGAGUGGUGACCGUUAUUAUUGGGUCUAAAGGGUCCGUAGCCGGUUUGGUCAGUCCUCCGGGAAAUCUGAUAGCUUAACUGUUAGGCUUUCGGGGGAUACUGCCAGGCUUGGAACCGGGAGAGGUAAGAGGUACUACAGGGGUAGGAGUGAAAUCUUGUAAUCCCUGUGAGACCACCUGUGGCGAAGGCGUCUUACCAGAACGGGUUCGACGGUGAGGGACGAAAGCUGGGGGCACGAACCGGAUUAGAUACCCGGGUAGUCCCAGCCGUAAACUAUGCUCGCUAGGUGUCAGGCAUGGCGCGACCGUGUCUGGUGCCGCAGGGAAGCCGUGAAGCGAGCCACCUGGGAAGUACGGCCGCAAGGCUGAAACUUAAAGGAAUUGGCGGGGGAGCACAACAACGGGUGGAGCCUGCGGUUUAAUUGGACUCAACGCCGGACAACUCACCGGGAACGACAGCAAUAUGUAGGCCAGGCUGAAGACCUUGCCUGAAUCGCUGAGAGGAGGUGCAUGGCCGUCGCCAGUUCGUACUGUGAAGCAUCCUGUUAAGUCAGGCAACGAGCGAGACCC
rnacentral:rRNA from 1 species